AGAGUUUGAUCAUGGCUCAGGAUAAACGUUGGCGGCGUGCCUAACGCAUGCAAGUCGCACGAGGCGCAAGCCGAGUGGCGGACGGGUGAGUAACACGUAGGGACCUGCCCAGAAGUGGGGGACAACUCUCCGAAAGGAGAGCUAAUACCGCAUACGGUCUACGGACCAAAGCCGCAAGGCGCUUCUGGAGGGACCUGCGGUGGAUUAGCUAGUUGGUGGGGUAACGGCCUACCARGGCGACGAUCCAUAGCUGGUCUGAGAGGAUGAUCAGCCACACUGGGACUGAGACACGGCCCAGACUCCUACGGGAGGCAGCAGCGAGGAAUUUUGCACAMUCGACGCAGGUCGGAUGCAGCAACGCCGCGUGGGGGAAGAAGGCUUUCGAGUUGUAAACCCUUUUGUGAGGGAAGAAGAUCUGACGGUACCUYCACGAAUAAGUCACGGCUAACUACGUGCCRSCSGCYGCGGUAAUA
rnacentral:rRNA from 1 species